rnacentral:tmRNA from 2 species
GGGGGUGUACCGGUUUCGACGGGGGUAUGGAGGCUGGAUAAGCGGGCGGAUGCGCCUAACAUCCUUAAAAUGGGCAUUUUAUAAAUUAAAGAACAACAACACUGUUGCUGUUGCUGCCUAACUAAAGGCAGCCGUCCGACCGGACAGGACCGCGGGUCCGGAAGGGCGUCGUUUAGCGGUAAAUGUGAGUACAGUAAGCUUUGCCUGUGCCACACAUCAUGAAGCUCACCUGACCUGACGGCGUGGCGGCUUGCCGCCGGGAAGGGGAACGGGAAGAGAAAGACUUCCAAAAUAACCGCCUGCGCCCGGAGAAAGUCCUGUCAAAGUGCUUUCGGACGGGGGUUCAACUCCCCCCACCUCCACCA